ensembl:sense_intronic
AGGUCCACUCCAAGACCACUGCUGUCUUUGGUAGUGAUGACAGGGUACUGGGAUCUCCCUUGUAACUGGGCUGCACUUUCAUUAAUAGCCUCUCCUGGGAUUUCUUCAGUACUCUAAGCCAGCUUCAUGGUACCAAGCCUCAACUUCUUUCUAUGGGACUCUCUUCAAUUAGAGGCUUCUACUGCAACUGAGGGUUCACCUUCACAAGGGGCCUUUUUCAUAGUGCCAUGCUUCAGCAGUUCUCCAUAACCCCUUGAUGCCUUCAAAACUUUCUCAGCUUCAGCUAAAAGACAACCCAGAAAGCAAAGGUUUUUACUUGUGGUGUUGGUCUCUUUUAAUCACAGUUCCAGCUGACCAGAGACUACAGAUUUUUUUGUUUGUUUUUGAUCUCUCUCUCUCUCUCUCUCUCUCUCUCUCUAUAUAUAUAUAUAUAUAUAUAUAUAUAUAUAUAUUCCCCCCCCCCCCAAGACAGGAUUUCUUUGUGUAGCCCUGGCUGUCAUGGAACUAGCUCUGUAGACCAGGCUGACCUCAAACUCACAGAGAUCCACCUGCCUCUGCCUGGCAAAGGUGCACACUACCACCACCUUUAAAAAGACUACAGAUUCUUUUUCUUAAUUUACAUUACUACAGAUUCUUUUUUUUAUUUACAUUCUAAAUUUUGUCCCCCCUCUCAGCCCCCUUUGCAGAGUUCUUCCUCCUAUUCCUCUCACCUCUGAGAGCCCCCCUCUAAACCUUCCCCCUCCCUAAGGCAUCAAGUCUCUACAGGAUUAGGCACAUCCUCUCCCACUGAGGCCAGAAGAGGCAGUUCUCUGCUAUAUAUGAGGGGGUCAGGGGGUGGGGGGAUGUGGAGUUGGUUCAGACCAUCCCAGGUGUUCAGGUUAGUUGACACUGUUGGUUUUCCUGUGGGGUUGCCAUUCCUUUCAGUUCCUUCAGUCUUUCCCCUAACUUCCAUAGGGGUCCCCAGACCUCAGUCCAAUGCAGUAUCUACAUCUGUCUCAGUCACCUGCUAGUAGAGCCUCUCAGAGGACAGCCAUGCUAAGCUCCUGUCUGCAAGUCCAGUAUAUCAUCAGUAAUAGUGUCAGGGUGUGGUGCUUACCCAUGGGAUGGAUCCCAAGUUGGACCUGUCACUGGUCAGCCAUUUGUUUACUCUUUGCUCCACUUUUGUCCCUGCAUUUCUUUUAGGAACAGAUUUGGGUCAGAAAAUUUGAAGGUGGGUUGGUGACCUCAUCCCUCCACAGGUGGCCCUGUCUAAUUACUGGAAGUGGUCUCUUGAGGUUCCAUAUCCCCACUGUUAGGCAUUUUGGCUAAGUAUCCAAAAUAUAUAAAGAACUCAAGAAGUUAGACUCAAAAAGCCAAAUAACCCAAUUAAAAAAUGGGGUACAGAGCUAAACAGAGAAUUCUCAACAGAGAAAUCUUGAAUGGCUGAGAAAUACUUAAAGAAUUGUUCAACAUCCUUAGACAUCAGGGAAAUGUAAAUCAAAAUGACCCUGAGAUUCCACUUUAUACCAAUCAGAAUGGUUAAGAGCACUGACUGCUUUCCCAGAGGUCCUGAAUUCAAUUCCCAGCAGCCACAUGGUGGCUCACAACCAUCUGUAACGGGAUCUGAUGCCCUCUUUUGGUGUGACAGUGCACUCACAAAUAUAAAAUACAUAAAU